UACGUAGGGUGCAAGCGUUAAUCGGAAUUACUGGGCGUAAAGCGUGCGCAGGCGGUGAUGUAAGACAGAUGUGAAAUCCCCGGGCUCAACCUGGGAACUGCAUUUUGUGACUGCAUCGCUAAAGUACGGCAGAGGGGGAUGGAAUUCCGCGUGUAGCAGUGAAAUGCGUAGAUAUGCGGAGGAACACCGAUGGCGAAGGCAAUCCCCUGGGCCUGUACUGACGCUCAUGCACGAAAGCGUGGGGAGCAAACAGG
rnacentral:rRNA from 1 species